CAUUACCGAGAUAGGGUCCAUUUCGGAACCCGACCCUCCUACCCUUUGCAUAUAUACCUCUGUUGCUUCGGCGGACCCUGCGGCACAUGGCGAUGCUAGACACGUCGAGCCUGGCCCGCCAGAAGCCUAUUUAAUUCUGACUGUCAUCAGUGAUGUCUGAGCACACUUUGCAAAAUAAAUUAAAACUUUCAACAACGGAUCUCUUGGUUCUGGCAUCGAUGAAGAACGCAGCGAAAUGCGAUAAGUAAUGUGAAUUGCAGAAUUCAGUGAAUCAUCGAAUCUUUGAACGCACAUUGCGCCCUCUGGUAUUCCGGGGGGCAUGCCUGUUCGAGCGUCAUUACACCUCUCAAGCUUUGCUUGGUAUUGGGCUUGCGUCCCUUGUGGAUGGGCCUGAAAAUCAGUGGCGGUGCAGCCGGUACUCAAGCGUAGUAAUAUCAUAUCCCGCUUUGGAGUCACCGGGUGGACCCGCCAGAUAACCCUUAAUAUCUUUUCAAUGGUUGACCUCGGAUCAGGUAGGGAUACCCGCUGAACUUAAGCAUAUCAAUAAGCGGAGGAAAAAA
rnacentral:rRNA from 1 species